AAUAUUCGCUAAUGGGGGAAACCCUGAUCCAGCCAUGCAGCGUGUGUGAAGAAGGUCUUCGGAUUGUAAAGCACUUUAAGUUGGGGGGAAGGGCUGUUGGCUAACACCCAGCACUCUGGACGUUACUGACAGAAUAAGCACCGGCUAACUCUGUGCCAGCAGCCCCGGUAAUACAGAGGGUGCAAGCGUUAAUCGGAAUUACUGGGCGUAAUGCGCGCGUAGGUGGUUCAGUAAGAUGGGUGUGAAGUCCCCGGGCUUAACCUGGGAACUGCUUUCAUAACUGCUGAGCUAGAGUACGGUAGAGGGUAGUGGAAUUUCCUGUGUAGCGGUGAAAUGCGUAGAUAUAGGAAGGAACACCAGUGGCGAAGGCGACUACCUGGACUGAUACUGACACUGAGGUGCGAAAGCGUGGGGAGCAAACA
rnacentral:rRNA from 1 species